rnacentral:rRNA from 1 species
AAGACAUGCAAGUCGAACGGGAUGGCCCAAUGAAGUUUGAGUGCUUGCACAAGAAUGAAUUUGGAUCGCCAUCUAGUGGCGCACGGGUGAGUAACACGUGGGUAACCUGCCUUUAAGUUUGGGACAACAGUUGGAAACGACUGCUAAUACCGGAUAACAUAUGAAAUUGAUUAUUUCAUAUUGAAAGGUGCCUUUAAAGCAUCGCUUAAAGAUGGGCCUGCGGCGUAUUAGCUAGUUGGUGAGGUAAUGGCUCACCAAGGCGACGAUGCGUAGCCGAACUGAGAGGUUGAUCGGCCACACUGGGACUGAGACACGGCCCAGACUCCUACGGGAGACAGCAGUUAGGAAUAUUCGUCAAUGGGGGAAACCCUGAACGAGCAAUGCCGCGUGAAUGAUGACGGCCCUCUGGGUUGUAAAAUUCUGUUGUUUGGAAAGAACUGUAAGAUUAGGAAAUGAAUCUUACUUGACGGUACCAAGCGAGAAAGCUCCGGCUAACUACGUGCC